GCUGACACAUUAUGUAAUUCUUAGACCUAAAUUUAUACUUUUAAUCUUUUUAUUAUCAAUAAAGAGCUUUUUCAUUUCAAUCUUGUUUAUGUGUCCAUGAUUUAUCCUAAAAAUUAAUAAAGAUAAUUUUUAUAUAUUCUUAAAAUUUUAAAAAUUUGAGAUAUACAUUAAUUAGUGAUUAAUUUUUAAAUACUUCCAAUCAAAGAAUCAUCACAGAGGAUAGUAAUCAAUCCAUU
rnacentral:lncRNA from 1 species